rnacentral:lncRNA from 1 species
GCGAAACAAAACCAAAACAGAAUCCGUUUGGUUGCGGCCUUCAUUCCUCUUAUCGAGAUUGAGAUCGUGGUUGCUUCUGUGUGUUGGUGGUGAUCGAGGAGGAAGGAGAUGGGGGAUCUCGAGAAGCAGCUGAAGGAUCGGGCGAAGGAGCUAAAGAUCCUGUUCAGGAAGGGGAUGAAGGUGGUCGGAUCUGCCUGCAAGAAGGGAUGGUACAAGGUCCGCAAGCUCAGGGGAUGAUCGAUUCCUCUUCCGGGUUUGUUCGGCUUCGCUUCUCUUGAUUCCGUUCAUGUAGAUCCAGCACGUUCACGGAUGCUUUUUAAUUUUCCGUCUUAGCCUGCUUAGAAGUUAGAUCUGAAUACGUUGUUGCGUGUCUCUUCGGAUCCAUCGAUCUGUGGCCUUGAUUUCUUCACGCAAGCUUAAGGAUGUAGCACAAUUCUGUUCAUGUAGAUCCAGUUCUCUUAAUCUUUCGUCUUACCCUGCUUAGAAGUUUAGAAUCGAUAUCGUUUAAUUCAGUGUGAAUAUGUUUGUUGCGCAUCUCUUCUCAUGUAUCUGUUCCUAGUUUUCUUUCCUUGAUUUCUUCAAGUCAUCAUGCAAACUCAUCGAGGAAAAAGGAAACCAUAGAAACUGUGGAUCGAUUGUUUGUUUAAUGGCAAUGUCAAAUUUGCGAAAAGAAAAAAACUACUAAGGCAUAAUUAGUGUCGGUUUGCAUACAGAUAACAGAAUCAUCUUCUGAGAGCACAAAUAUGCCCAAAGUAUUCUAUAAGAUGCAUUUCCAAUUUAAUAGAAUGGCAUAAUCAUAAGAACAUGGCUUGUAUAAGGCCUGUCUUUGUUAUGUGCAUGAAUAGCACAGAGCAAAAACCAAUAGGUGUAAAAAGCUGAUACCAUCUUAUAAAACAGUCAAUAGGCAUAGAAGUAACUAUUCCUAUUUCUUAGUAGCACAGCAAAACUCCACCUUUGUGUUCUGUGAAUGUUUGAUUGAGAAUUGGUUUACAAUUGUAGAAGUCAUUAGCUUUGUAGUUGUUUUUGGUAUAAACAAGGUUAAAACCAGCCCAUUUUACCAAAAAGUGGACAUUAGAAGAUCAUUCAAGAGAGGCAAGAUUACAAUCCUUUAACACUAUAAUCACCUGCUUAUAAAGGUUCAGGUGAGUUGUCAUCAUACCUGUUAUGACAGGGCUUCAAAACCACAGCUUCUGAAGACACAUCAAUAACAUAAAUGAAAUGACAAGGUGACCAACAAAUCAGUAUUAAAGCAUUAGAAAAAGGAUAAUGCUUUCGCUUUAGGAUUGGUAAUCUCAGGGCAAUGAAACACACAUAAAAAACAUCUGCUUAAGAGCCUUGUGUUAGUCGCUGCAUCUCUCCUUGGCUAUCUAGUGUUUCCAUUAGCAGGGGAGGUGCAUAUUGUGCAGUCCCUUGAUGCUCCUCUGCAUCUUGGCAGAAGGAGAGGAUGAUAGUAUCGAUCGACAUCUCAACGACUGCAAAAAAAAGGGUUGCAACUAUGUAACCAAGCCCCCAAGUUACCUGCAUGAAAAUUUAAGCAUGUCAACACUGGUGUUCAACCUAUAUGCAUCACAAAGAAAAUAUAUUUACAGAGCAAGCUAUUGAUAGUCCAGCAGGAAAAGCACUUUCCUGCAUGGUUGGAUAUAAGGCUUAGAAGAAUGCAAAAGCAAAGAGAGAUUCACAAAUACAGACAUGAUGACCAUGCCAAGAAGACAGUCUUUUGUCAUUAAACUCCGGGCAUCUCUCCUAACACUUUACAUCAUAUCCACUGAUAGGAAUAGGAACAUAUUCUCCCAACUAAAGACGAUAGUAUAGUCGUGUUAUUCUACAAAAGACAUCAUAUGAAGCUCUCCAUACUGAAAUAUCACCCCUUUCUGCUUCUAUCCUAGAUAUGUCACUUUUUGCUUAAAUGCUUAUUGAUCCUAUAAAGAGAUCAUGUCUUGGAGAUCUGUUCACUACAAUCCUUCCCAUGCCAUAAAUAUUGGGUGAUCGACACACGCUACAUGACGCAUGAAAUAAAAUACUUCAUACAUCCACCUGCUUGCUUUUACUCCCAUUAUAGUGCGGUUCAUGCUUGAGUUUUAGUAGUAACCGAAGAGUGAGAUAAACUAGUAAGCACAAAGAGUUCCCCAAAGGUCUUCAAACAAACUAGAGACCUAUUUAUGAUAAUGUGACAUUUAUUUUGUCUUGAUCACCCAUGUGUGCAAUGAGGUUCAUGGGAAGCAUCCAUGAAGCAAUCCUGUGAUGGCACACACCAGGCAAAAUACUCCCAAAACAUCCUAGACCUAUUGUCUUGCUGAUUCUAGUACCUUCUAGUUAAGUUUGUGUUCUACUAAGUUUAAAGCAUUGUUUGCCUUCCUUUCCCAUGAAAAAAAUAGAGCACGAUUUGCAACUCUCAACUCAUAGGAAACAAGUGAAUUGAGAAAGAGAUAGAAAACAUCUAAUAGAGAACCUUACCAAAACAGGGAACAAAGGGGAUGAUAUCUUGUUAUGAGCAGAUUUGUAUUUGUGGGUGUCCAACAUGAGGAAUGCAAAUAAUGCACAAAACAGGCUCACACAUAGCUUCCCAAGGUAGAGAAUCACAUCUCCAAUGACAUUGACCUUUCCUAUGCGCAAUAUAUUAUUCAUAAUCAACCCAGUAGCAAUAGCAGAAGCUUUGCUAAAUCCUUUUCCUGUGAUGGCAAUCUGCAUUAUAUAAUGACCAAUACAAGUUAGCAAUAUAGCAAAGACAUAAAACCACAGAGCAUGCAAGAACUAACUAAUGAACACUGUACCAAGAACUAGCAAUAUAAGGCUGUCACAGACUUCAUCAAAUUGUUAAGAUUGUUUGCAACCAAAGACACGAGAAGUUCGAAAACCCAAAACCUGAAGAUGAUUGUGUGGUAUGUACUGUCCCACUUUCAUGUUAUUUCGGAUUUAGAUACUACUUAGGCUACCUAAACAUAGCAAAAUGCAUGCCCUUGCAUAUGAAUGGUGCAUAUUUGCUGUACAAUGCAUCCAUGGAUAUAUGACUAAUAAAAAGUAAAAGCUUUCCCUGACAGUCCCUACAUUGUGGAAGUACGGUGCAUGAAAUUUCUUUCCAGACACAAAGGUGGCAGAGAUAAAAAAUUGUGGUAAUGAUGUACCUAAAAUUCAUCAUUCAUAUUAAAAGAAAAAAAAAGAGAAUGAAACAAAAGCCUGUCUGGUCUACAAAAAAAUGAAUUAGUGCUUACGUCAGAUAAACAUUUCCAGUAAAGUGCCACAGAGAUGAGCAGAACAGACAACACAAUUAGAAAUUUAAUUGGACUGAAUAAGGAGCAAGAUUUAGCUGGUCUACAUGGCAAAAUACAAGCUUCCUCUAUAAGUGUUGUCCAAAUUAUUACCAUAAUAUAUGCAUUACGAUUCACGGACUUGAUGAUCCAAUCAAUGCAUCCUAAGCAGCAUUGAGAAGAAGAGGACAUGAACUUUCCAAUGCAGGUUACUGGAGCAGGAUCACUGUGUCUUAACCUGCGCCGUAGGGCCUCAAGUAUAAAUCUCACCCAUUCAACAAUUGAUACAACAAGGGAACCAAGAGCCACAGAUCCUAGACUGUAUCGCAAGAGCCGCUUCAUGGAAGAAAAUACAGGAAGAAAUGGAAUCUCCUGCUGCAUUCAGUUUAAAAAGAUUCAUUAUUCAAAAACAAAAGAUGAUCCAGUGCAAAGGAAUAAUCAAAACAACGAGGUUCAUUUCAUGCUAGGCACAAUAAGUAUUUUAACAUUCCCAUAGUUCACAGAAUGAUCUUUUCUGAAGGUGGAUAAAUAUGUCAUUGUCUGAACACACAUAAAAGCAUAUAUUUGUAGCUUUUCUUAUAGAAACAUCAGACUAUGGUAAUUUACACGAGGGCAAUUUACAAGCAUAGUAUAUCAUUCUAAAUCAGGAACCAAGCUGCAUCAAGGAAAACAAGGAGCUCGAUACAUGCAAAGUAUAAAGGAUUAACUUAAGUUUCAGAUUUAAGAGGACUACAAGGAUUGCUCUUUGAGUUUUAAGCGGAAGUACACCAUGGGCUCAAAACCAUAAUCUGAGUUCUCAGAAGCUGACAUUUUUUUAACCAACUAAUUUAAGAAACAGCUAAGAUUUAGCUACUCGGUCAAGUAUCAAGUUUCUCAAAUCUGUGACCUUAAGUUCGUGAAAUGUUGUGCCUGCAUAGAUCUAUUUGGACCCUGAGACUCGAACAACUUUAACUUAUGGCUUUACUUACCGAUAUCUCACCACGAGCCCAGUAGUAUGAGGCAACUGAUCCAGCAAUGACAGUUGAUGAGCAUGCAAUGAUAAACUGUGUUGCCCAGUAACAUCCAAAAAGGUGAAAAAGGAUAGAAAUUCCAAUAUUGCGAGUGUAAUGGAUACGAUAGCCACAACAAUUAUCACAAUUGAUCUUGUUGGACUUUAGGUCAAAUGAACAGCAGUUUCCACUACAAUCAUUUCUGAGGAUCUGACCAGAGCUGAAAAGAUGAAGAGCAGCAGAAAACCAGAACAUGUAAAAUACUGCAAGGAUAACAUAUGGCAGUAUCGGGAAAAUUAUAAGAGCCUGGACCUCGCCUAUUACUUUUGCUGCAACCUGAGCAUACCCAUAAAAGUUAGCUUACAGAAUAAAGUUUAGUAUACUAGAGAUGAAUGGAGAAGACGAUCAAAGCAAAAUCUUAAUUGUGAUGUUAAUGAAAUACUGCUUAUUGUAUAAGUUAAUAGAUGUUCAAAGCCAAUCAGGUUUUGCCUGAUCAUGUCAGAAUUCAAGUCAUAUAUUUCAAAGCAAUAGCUGGGUUUUCAUGCCUUCGUAUAUAUACAACUAGAUGUAGCUGUGCUUGCUAUCCAAAAGAAGAAAAUGCUUUAACUCCCACAUGAAAUUGCAGAUUCAGCUGAUUUCAGAAUCAUUAUUACCUUCAAAACUGAUGUCGCUAUAAGUAUUCGGCGGAUAAUUGCUAGUGAAGAGAGGAAGGCAAUAAUCAUUACUAUCGUCAUAAGAACAGCAACAGCACGAAUAUGAUUUAUUUCCUGCAUUGAAUCUGAAGAUAAGCAACAAUAGAGAGACAAUUGCCAAAUAUUUGUGACUCGUGAUAGGAACAAACCCGGCCACUUAUGUGGAUGUAAGGGUCGUGUUCACCAAUAACAACCGACAAGGCAUCAUUACCAAUCCACCCAGCUGAAAAGCAUUUAAGAACAUUAUUAUUUGGUGCUCAUUGGUCAAGAACAGAAACCAUAGUUUCAUUAAAAUAUAUAAUCAUAGUUUCAUUAAUGAGAAGUAUCGAGACAUUAAUAAUGAACGACUAGGCCACUUUCCAUUGUUGAUGUCAAAUAAUUCUUCACUAAAAAUAUUCGAUCCACACCAGAUGCUACAUAAUUAACUGCACAUCAGAAUAACAACAUUUCUGUGAAACAUAUAUCUGACCUUUUGUGUAGUAGAACAUUGUAACAGAUAUCACAAGGGCAUUGAAGAGAAUCACUGUUAUCCAAGUCAUUCCAGCAACAAAAUGGCGUAUCAUCAAUAGCCAUAUAACAGACAAAAAGACGGGGAGGAUUC